rnacentral:tRNA from 1 species
UCCCUCAUAGCUCAGCUGGUGGAGAGUCUGCCUGCAAUGCAGGAGACCCGGGUUUGAUCCCUGGGUUGGGAA